GACGUAGGGCGCGAGCGUUGUCCGGAUUUACUGGGCGUAAAGCGCACGUAGGCGGAUCGAUCAGUCAGGGGUGAAAUCCCAGGGCUCAACCCUGGAACUGCCUUUGAUACUGUCGAUCUGGAGUAUGGAAGAGGUGAGUGGAAUUCCGAGUGUAGAGGUGAAAUUCGUAGAUAUUCGGAGGAACACCAGUGGCGAAGGCGGCUCACUGGUCCAUUACUGACGCUGAGGUGCGAAAGCGUGGGGAGCAAACAGG
rnacentral:rRNA from 1 species